UCAUCCGUGAAAAAUGAUAAGUAAUGAAAAUUAUGAAAUGUCAUCGUCAGGUGCCUACAAUAUUCUUAUCAAUGUAUUGCAUUUUGAUAUACAGAUAAAAACACGACACGGGCAGUAGUAAAGUUGAGUUGUGAACUUCGAUUGAACUUAUACCUAUUAAGUAUUAAUAUGUAUUAAAAUAUAUAGGUACAUAAUAUUGUAAAAUGAUUUCGAUAUUCAACUAACUUGUAGCCAGGCGCCGGACAGCUGCUGCAGCACCGGCUGGGCUUGUCGCUUGUCGGUACUCGGCAAACGAGAAACACGACGACGUGCUCGGGCCUCGGAGCAACAUGUGUCCGACCGUGUACCCCAUUUUAAUCUAGUUGUGACGCGGUCUGUUGUUAGGCAAAACGUCCCUUCGUUGUCGUUCAGUGCAGCGGCUUUUAAUUGGUGCGUCGCGAUAGAAUCUACAUGAAAACAUAAUCACGUACCUCCUCAAGUUAAUACAAUUUUAUUUUUCUGGAAAUGCCAACAUAGAAAUCAUGUUCCAGAAGGCACAGUUUUUUAAACCAACUCUUUGACAAUGUAAAUGACAAUGCGACAGAACCUGCCGAUGAUCUAGUAAUCAAACCGCCUCCGGAACCUCCAACCAGAGAAAUUCCAGGACUCUGAGGACUAUCAACCAUCAAUAUUGCUAAAUGAGGAUUUGUCCAUUACCAGCAUUCCAAUAAAGGAAAUAAUCUGUUAGUAAUUCAAAAGAAUAGCGAUAGAAGUGGACCGUCCGAUAGAAAUGGGGCGUGAAUAGUGCAACGAUCACAUUUUACCAAGGUAUGUAGAGAUAUUAAGGGAGGAUGGAAGUCUAAAAUUUUUUGGCAUUGUCUUCACCAACAAUGCAUUCAUUCAAGAAAUUAAUGUACACUUGUAUAAGAACAAUGUGCAUGGAUAUUACAUUCCAAAUAAGACAACGACAACCAGCUGAUAUAGACAAAUUGCCGACUAUAACUUGGGAGAUCAGCUGGAAGAUUUAAUGAGUUUCUAUGAACGGUACUGGAUAGAUACUGGAUAAAAACAUGAUUUGUUUAUAAUCAACUGGCUAUUGUAAUUCGGUUCAGCUAUUCCAAUACGUACCAAAGUAUCAUAAUGUUUAAUCAAUUCAGUACAACAUGAAUUUGGUUGUAGAUAAUAUUAUGAUAGUUAGCCUAAAUUAAAUGAAAAGUAUGUUUGCCAUGGUAUCCAUAGAGUACACAUCAGAAAAAAGUAAUUGGUGAACCUUAAAGUUUUUAAGGUAUGUAUUUUAAUGUAUGUAUUUUUCAUAAAUAUGAAUUUAUUGUUAUUGUAAUUUCAAUAUUAUAUUAUGGUAUUUUUAGGUGGUGAUUUUGUAAGAAACAGCAAUGUAUCAUUAUGCCACAAAUAAUUUGUAGUAGCCCAGACAGACUGGUGAAAGUGUAUGGUUCUAUUUUGAUUAAUUUAUCUUGCAUUUAUGCAUUGUAUUUAUUUUAUUGCAUCAGGUUAUUUUCGUGUUGACCUACUAUGGUAAAUUGUAAUUCAAUUUGGGUAGACCCAGCAACUAACCUAUUACAGAUUUCAUCAGAACCGAGUAAGAGGUGCUUACAGUAAUUAGUUCAAGAUCUUUUGAAAUGUUUGAUAUUUUUUUUUCACUUUAAAUAAUAACCCUUAAACCCUGUUGACAGA
rnacentral:lncRNA from 1 species